AGAUCCAACAGGCUGGUCUCCUCUGAGCUACGUCAUGCUGACUCUGCGUAUCGCAGGACUGAUCCUGAUGAUCAUAAUCACCGUUCUUGUCAUCAGAAUUACAUGGAACACAAAAGCGCUGCAUGUCGACAGCAAUGUGAAUAAUGAUGGCGAUGUCCAGUAUGAAAAUGUAGAAGGACGUCCUGCUGAUGCGAGACUGCACUGAUCAACAACUUUCACACCAACUUCAGAUCAUCAGAGAGUCAAAUAUCAUCAGUCAUUUUUACACUUGUGACAGAAGCUUUCAGUUAAAAUCAUUGUUGCUUAUUUAGGAUACAUUUGCUUUUUUUAUUCUCUGAUCUUCAUAUUCAUCAGAUGACAUGUUCACAAGUUACCUGUAGUCCAUUGAGAAAGAAACUAUGACCCAAUUUUGGACCACAACCCAUCAGUUGGGAGCCACUACUUCGAAUGAUUGUACUGUUGUUCUCCAUUUGAUUCCUGUUGAACUGAACACUUUAUUUCAUUAUUAUUAUUUGAACUCAUAUCUGUUUUUUUUAAAAGUUUGAUGUCAGUUCUUUUAACCAUCAGUAUUUUUGUUUAGCCUGAGUGUGUCUGACUUAUUAUGCAGUUGAAGGUAUACAGCA